GCUCAGAUUGAACGCUGGCGGCAGGCCUAACACAUGCAAGUCGAGCGGUAGAGAGAAGCUUGCUUCUCUUGAGAGCGGCGGACGGGUGAGUAAUGCCUAGGAAUCUGCCUGGUAGUGGGGGAUAACGUUCGGAAACGGACGCUAAUACCGCAUACGUCCUACGGGAGAAAGCAGGGGACCUUCGGGCCUUGCGCUAUCAGAUGAGCCUAGGUCGGAUUAGCUAGUUGGUGGGGUAAUGGCUCACCAAGGCGACGAUCCGUAACUGGUCUGAGAGGAUGAUCAGUCACACUGGAACUGAGACACGGUCCAGACUCCUACGGGAGGCAGCAGUGGGGAAUAUUGGACAAUGGGCGAAAGCCUGAUCCAGCCAUGCCGCGUGUGUGAAGAAGGUCUUCGGAUUGUAAAGCACUUUAAGUUGGGAGGAAGGGCCAUUACCUAAUACGUGAUGGUUUUGACGUUACCGACAGAAUAAGCACCGGCUAACUCUGUGCCAGCAGCCGCGGUAAUACAGAGGGUGCAAGCGUUAAUCGGAAUUACUGGGCGUAAAGCGCGCGUAGGUGGUUUGUUAAGUUGGAUGUGAAAUCCCCGGGCUCAACCUGGGAACUGCA
rnacentral:rRNA from 1 species